CUCGUGCACGCGCACGCAGGCGCGCCGGGCGGGGGCGGAGGCCGCGCAUGCGCAUGUGCGGUGCCGCUAGUUCGAACUCCACUUUCCCAUAGACGCUCCAACUGGCUGUGAGACCCUACAAGAAGCUCGCCCUUGUCAUCUCCCAGCCGGCUUCUUUGCUCUCAGCUUGUUUGCUGUCGGUGUGACCCUUCCUCAUGCCACACUAAUGGCUGUCCGGCGGCACCAUCGUGCAUUCAUUUCUUCCACAGAUGUUUAAUGGGCUCCUGCUCUGCGCUGGGGAUACAGUGGCGCGUGAAACAGAUGAGGUCCCCCCCUCGUGGAGCUCAUAGUCUGGUAAAGGAAACGGACUACAAACUCAAUUUAUGUAACUACAGAGUGUUAAAAGGGCAAGGAAGGAAAGGAAUGAGAAGUCACCGAAGUGAAUAAACCUACCUGGUUUCCUGUCAUGCCUCCAUUUCUCUGCCGGGAGCUGCCUCCAAGGUGCCCCGAACAUGAUUUUCUCUGCCUCUGAAACCCUUACCUUCCAGUACCUCUGCCAGAGACAUACUUUUUUUACUCAACUUCAUGUGGGAAAUGAACUCAUUUUUGUGCUGCGUCUGUACCUUUUGCCUGUGUGCCUUGUUUUGCAUUUUUCCUUCUCCAGGGAGGAUCUGACAAACUUGAGUUAUUUUUACAUGUAUUGAUUUAUUUUAUGCUAAGUGCUCCCAGGAAAGCGGGGGAUGGGGAAUGCAGAAAAUGAGCAAAAAACUAGCUCUUGUCAGCGAGGCCCAGAGAGCCCUUCAAAACGGAUUUAUUUACCGGCCAUGGAUAAACUUCGAGACAUUGCGGAUACCCCCAAAUAAUAUGUUAAUAUUUUGACGUUGUUUAUUGAACUAAAAUAAUACGCAUACAUAGUUUAAUAUAUAUAUACAUAUACUAGAAGGCUUGUAAUGAAAAAAGCAGUUCUCUGGCCUACUCUUUAGAGGCAAUAGCCUCAACUCCUUUAGAUACUCAUCCAGAUUAGAUCCAUAUAUCUAAAUAAAUGUGUAUACUACUAAUUCUUGAUUUGUUAAUUUUAAGGGUUAUUUGUUGACUUCCUGCCGUGAUAGAUAAGAACAUGAAUGAGUCUAUCACUUCUGUUCUCCACCUCCACAUUUAUAUAACUUUUUAGUUAAACCAAUAAUCAGCAUUUAAAUUAUGUUUGUGAAUACUGUUUACUAAUGAGCCAAUAAAGGUAGUACAACCAUGCCUUCUAGAUUAUACAGCCCUCCAUUUUUCUUAGAGUUAAUUAUUGCCUUUUUUUCCUCACUUGUCAAUUUUCUAUAUUAUCUACAGUUGGCUGCCCCCACCCCAGCAAGUGUUCCAAGACUCUGUCCAAAACUCUAGCAAUAUUUUCCAUAUACUCAAAUGCAUAAAUUCCAUUUUUUUCUCUAGAGUCUUUGUCCCAGAGCCUCCUUCCUCUUGUUUCAAUCUGGGCUGACUGAUCUCUAGACUUGCUAUACAGUUGUCAUUCUGGGAUUUUCCUUCGUUGCUGUCAUGGGCUGGUUUUGCCCAUUUCAUGGAUCCCAUGCCUUCUUCUUUCUUAAUUUACUUAUUUGUUUUGCUAAAGCACCUCCUUUAGUAACCUUGUAAGGAAGAGAGAUAGGGGAUAUGUUGUUGGGAUCUUUGCAUAUUUUAAAAUGUCUUAAUUUUAUUCUAAUACUUGAUUUGUAAUUGAAUUUAUAGUUGGGCUGGUUAUUGAAUUCAAGUUUGAAAAUAAUUUUCCAUCAUAAUUUUGAGGGUAUUAUUCAUUUUCUUUUACCUUCCAGGGUUGCUAUUGUAAAAAGUCUGAUUCCUGUUCAUAUUCCUGAUCCUUCGUAUGUUACAUCUUCUCCAUCUCCAUCUCUGGAAGCAUUAGGAUUUUCUCUUUAGGCUGUUGGUUGGAAAUUUUAUAAUGAUAUGCUUUGCUGUGACUCUUAAUUGUUUUGUACUGAGCACUCAUUCAGAGUGGAAACUCAUGUACUUCAGUUUUGGAGGAAAUUUUCUUUGAUUAUUUACUUGAUAAUUUCUUCUCCUCCACUUUUUUUGGUUCUCUUUCUGGAAUGCCUGUUAUUUAGAAGUUAGAUUUCUGGAUUGAUCCUUUCAUUUUUUUCUUCUAUUUUUUGUUUCUUUGGGUUUGUUUGUUUUAUUUUUAAUUGUGGUAAAUGUACAUAACAUAAAAUUUCUCAUCUUAACCUUUUUUUUUUUUUUUUGCGGUACGCGGGCCUCUCGCUGUUGUGGCCUCUCCCGUUGCGGAGCACAGGCUCCGGACGCGCAGGCUCAGCGGCCAUGGCUCAUGGGCCCAGCCGUUUCGCGGCAUGUGGGAUCUUACCGGACCGGGACACGAACCCGUGUCCCCUGCAUCAGCAGGCGGACUCUCAACCACUGCGCCACCAGGGAAGCCCAUCUUAACCAUUUUUAAGUGUACAGUUCAGUAGUGUUAAGUUUAUUGACAUUGUAAUGCAACCAAUCUCAAAAACUCUUUUCAUCUUGCAAAACUGAAACUCUGUACCCAUUGUUUGUUUGUUUUUGUUCUAUUUUUCUGCGAUAUUUCCGUGUCAUUAUCUUCAACCAUUUUAAAUUUCAGUUUUCUUAUUUUUAAUUCCCAAGACCUUUUUUCCCCAACUCCCCUUCCCAUAUUCUAUCCUUGUUUUAUUGACAGGAAUAUCUUCUUUCUGAGGCUAUUAUAUGUUUUAUGGACAGGAAUAUCUUCUUUCUGAGGAUACUAUAGUGUGUUUGUUUUUAGUUUUUCUCUAAAAACUGCUCUUUGCUCUGUUUCUUUCUUUUCUUUUCUCAUCUCUCUCAUUUAUGUUAAUGGCCAUCCUCAAAAGUCUGGUUACUUUAGCAGCUUGUUCGUAUUUAGGGAUGAGACUCCAAAAAGCUGAGUGGAGGCUGAAGUGUGUGGGCAAGAUGUGUUGACAAGCACCUUACUACUUAAAAGGAACUAGCAGCAUUGGCUUCCUCUGGAAGCUUUUUGGAAACACAGAAUCUCAGGUCCCACCAUAAACUACAGAUUUAGAAUCUGCAUCUUAGCAAGAUCCCUAGGUGAUUCAAAUGCAUAUUAUGUAGUGAGAAGCACUGUAUUAAUGGACUUCACUCUAAGGUGCACUGAUGAUGUGCCAGAUUUCAUAGAGGGCCCUCAUAUGUCAAUAUUGGUCUUUUCUCCAGAGAAGGAUCCUCUAGUUGCUUUGGGCUUAUAAACUUGGCUAUGAGUGUUCCCAGAGUCUUAAGAAUGCUUUUAAAGUUCCAGCCCACUUCCACUUAAAGCCAUUAUAAUCCCUGUGCCUCCCCACUGCCUUCCGCUGGGUUUGAGUGUAUAGAAAAUGAAUCUCUGUUGGUGGAGAUGGAGGAAGGGGUGGAAAUGGGAUGGGCCAGUGGGGAAAUGGGAUAAUCACCUGACUGCUUGGGGACCUAGAAUGCUCUUUAUACAGAUUUUCAACCAAUCUUCUGAUUUUCUUCAUCUUGCUUUUGUUUUUUUAAACUUCUGACUGAUUGAACAAAUAUCUUUGUCCCACCACCCAGCUUCCUUGAAUCUUAACAUUUUAUAAUUAAACUUGCUUCACAGCU